rnacentral:tRNA from 1 species
CGGGGUGUAGCGCAGUUGGUAGCGCACUAGACUGGGGGUCUAGGGGUCGCGUGUUCAAGUCACGUCACUCCGACCA